rnacentral:rRNA from 1 species
AAAGCGUGCGCAGGCGGUUUUGUAAGACUGUCGUGAAAUCCCCGGGCUCAACCUGGGAAUGGCGAUGGUGACUGCAAGGCUAGAGUUUGGCAGAGGGGGGUAAAAUUCCACGUGUAGCAGUGAAAUGCGUAGAUAUGUGGAGGAACACCGAUGGCGAAGGCAGCCCCCUGGGUCAAAACUGACGCUCAUGCACGAAAGCGUGGGGAGCAAACAGGAUUAGAUACCCUGGU